rnacentral:rRNA from 1 species
UGGCUCAGGAUGAACGCUAGCGACAGGCCUAACACAUGCAGGUCGAGGGGCAUCGGGGCGAGGAGCAAUCCUUGCCGCCGGCGACCGGCGCACGGGUGAGUAACGCGUAUGCGACCUGCCCGUUGCAGGGGGAUAAUCGGGAGAAAUCCCGUCUAAUACCGCGUAAUGCCGCGGGGCUGCAUGGCCCUGCGGCCAAAGGAAGCGAUUCCGGCAACGGAUGGGCAUGCGUGACAUUAGCUAGUUGGCGGGGCAACGGCCCACCAAGGCGACGAUGUCUAGGGGUUCUGAGAGGAAGGUCCCCCACACUGGUACUGAAACACGGACCAGACUCCUAUGGGAGGCAGCAGUGAGGAAUAUUGGUCAAUGGGCGCGAGCCUGAACCAGCCAAGUCGCGUGAGGGAUGACGGCCCUACGGGUUGUAAACCUCUUUUGUCGGGGAGCAAAUUCCGCCACGUGUGGCGGAGUCGAGAGUACCCGAAGAAAAAGCAUCGGCUAACUCCGUGCCAGCAGCCGCGGUAAUACGGAGGAUGCGAGCGUUAUCCGGAUUUAUUGGGUUUAAAGGGUGCGUAGGCGGACUGUCAAGUCAGCGGUAAAAUACGGGGGCUCAACCUCCGCCCGCCGUUGAAACUGACGGUCUUGAGUGGGCGAGAAGUAUGCGGAAUGCGUGGUGUAGCGGUGAAAUGCAUAGAUAUCACGCAGAACUCCGAUUGCGAAGGCAGCAUACCGGCGCCCAACUCACGCUGAAGCACGAAAGCGUGGGUAUCGAACAGGAUUAGAUACCCUGGUAGUCCACGCAGUAAACGAUGAAUACUAGCUGUCCGGGGCGAAUGAGCCCUGGGUGCACAGCGAAAGCGUUAAGUAUUCCACCUGGGGAGUACGCCGGCAACGGUGAAACUCAAAGGAAUUGACGGGGGCCCGCACAAGCGGAGGAACAUGUGGUUUAAUUCGAUGAUACGCGAGGAACCUUACCCGGGCUCAAACGACACAGGAACGUAUCUGAAAGGGUUCGGCUCUACGGAGCCUGUGUCGAGGUGCUGCAUGGUUGUCGUCAGCUCGUGCCGUGAGGUGUCGGCUUAAGUGCCAUAACGAGCGCAACCCCCAUCGACAGUUGCUAACAGGUCAGGCUGAGGACUCUGUCGAGACUGCCGGCGCAAGCUGCGAGGAAGGCGGGGAUGACGUCAAAUCAGCACGGCCCUUACGUCCGGGGCGACACACGUGUUACAAUGGCAGGUACAGCGGGAAGCCACCUGGCGACAGGGAGCGGAACCCGAAAGCCUGUCUCAGUUCGGAUUGGAGUCUGCAACCCGACUCCAUGAAGCUGGAUCCGCUAGUAAUCGCGCAUCAGCCACGGCGCGGUGAAUACGUUCCCGGGCCUUGUACACACCGCCCGUCAAGCCAUGGAAGCCGGGAGUGCCUGAAGU